AGCAGCCGCGGUAAUUCCAGCUCCAAUAGCGUAUAUUAAAGUUGUUGCAGUUAAAAAGCUCGUAGUUGAAUUUCGGGAUCAGUACGCUGGUCGUGCCUUCGGUAUGCACUGGUGUCACUGAUCCCUCCCUUCUGAAGAACCAUCAUGCCAUUCACUUGGUGUGGUGGGGAAAUCAGGACUGUUACUUUGAAAAAAUUAGAGUGUUUAAAGCAGGCUCACGCUUGAAUACAUUAGCAUGGAAUAAUGAAAUAGGACGUUGAUCUUAUUUUGUUGGUUUCUAGGAUUGACGUAAUGAUUAAUAGGGAUAGUUGGGGGCAUUAGUAUUCAAUUGUCAGAGGUGAAAUUCUUGGAUUUAUUGAAGACUAACUACUGCGAAAGCAUUUGCCAAGGAUGUUUUCAUUAAUCAAGAACGAAAGUUAGGGGAUCGAAGACGAUCAGAUACCGUCGUAGUCUUAAACCGAUAAACUAUGCCGACUAGGAUCGGAUGAUGUAUUUUUAA
rnacentral:rRNA from 1 species